UGUGCGCUGCCCAUCUUGGUGCUCACCUUCUCCCUCGUGGGCUCCUGUUUCUUCUGGGAAAUAGAGAGAUCGUGAGUGUGAAGGAGACUCCACUGACCACCCUGGGUGGCCAACGUCCUGGUGGGAGUUUCCUUCCUGCUGCUGCCAUUCCCGCUGCAGUGGAUCCCAAAGCCCAUGCUCUAUGGCCUGUUCCUCUACAUCGUCCUCACCUCCAUCGACGGCAACCAGCUUCGAGUGGGUCGACCCUAGUGCUCAAGGAACAGGUACAAUCUGCUGCCCAGAAUCAUCAAAGCCAAGUACCUAGAUGCCGUGGAUGCAGAGCACUAGGUGUGAACAUGUGCCGGCCCGGCUUAGCAGUACUCUGGCCUCCCUGCCCCCAGGCUCUUCCUGCCUCC